rnacentral:rRNA from 1 species
UACGAAGGGGGCUAGCGUUGCUCGGAAUCGCUGGGCGUAAAGGGUGCGUAGGCGGGUCUUUAAGUCAGGGGUGAAAUCCUGGAGCUCAACUCCAGAACUGCCUUUGAUACUGAAGAUCUUGAGUCCGGAAGAGGUGAGUGGAACUCCGAGUGUAGAGGUGAAAUUCGUAGAUAUUCGGAAGAACACCAGUGGCGAAGGCGGCUCACUGGUCCGGUACUGACGCUGAGGUGCGAAAGCGUGGGGAGCAAACAGG